ensembl:lincRNA
GCAUAGAUCAUCAAUAAUAAACAUCUGUACUUUCUGUUUCCUGUACUGACCCAGGUUCGUGCUCCUUUGUUCUGGUUGCCCACAAACCAUACUGCACAGCCAAGGCACUGUGGAUCCCUCCACCUUCACCAGUGACCCAGGUUCCUGCUCCUUUGUUCUGGUUGCCCACAAACCAUACUGCACAGCCAAGGCACUGUGGAUCCCUCCACCUUCACCAGUGACCCAGGUUCCUGCUCCUUUGUUCUGGUUGCCCACAAACCAUACUGCACAGCCAAGGCACUGUGGAUCCCUCCACCUUCACCAGAUGCUCACAGACCUACUUUCCAGAAGUUGCCAGACCUGACUGGUGAGAUGCCUUCCUCAGCUCUGCAGCUUUCCAGGCCCAUCCUUGCAUAGCAUCAUCACCCAAAAAAAAAAGGAGCAGAGCAGCUGCAGACCCUGAGCCACUUCACACUGCUGUCCUCAGUUAGCUCCCGAGCUGGCCAACUAUCUACCACCUGAGCCCCGAGACACCCCUCUCUUCCUUCCCUGAAGACAAAUUGGCUGUCUCUCAGAGUUCUCACAGGGGCCUAUCAGCACUGUCAGCAGCAUCACUGCAGAAUCCCUCUCUGCCUGGGACAGCAGCUCAGCCAGUCUUUAGCCUCUGAGGGUGAAACAAGUGAGCAGUGGGCUCUGGAAGGGGGAGAGAAGCUUACAGGGAAAAAGAUGUCCACCCUACAUAGACAACCAGAUUCUAUGAUUUGUCUCCUUAAUUCUGAGCACUGUUUCACCAGAUAGGCAUUCCUUUCUUGCUGGACACUGGCAGUGAAGACACUCUGGCCAAUUCAAGUGUGGUGGGCACGGCUCUGGCAGUCCUUACCCUUCUCCCUGAUUCCCUCUGCCUUUCUAAAAACCAUUAGAUUAAAUUUCUAAAGCUAGCCACCAAGGUCUAUUUCCUCCUCUUGAGGUCAACCACCAAGGUCCAGCUAUCAAAGUAUUGAAGUCCAGCAAACAAAAGCCCCAUUUGGCUCACCUAAGUAACAUGCCAAUUAAAAUUAUAUAGCUCAUCCUAAAAUGCGGUUUCCCAUUUUACCCUAUUUUAUUUGUUUGUUUGCUUGCUUGCUUGCUUGCUUAUACUUAUCUAAUGAAUGAGUGAUCUGCUGUAUAUACAUCCACAGGCCAGAAGAGGGCAUCAGGUCCCCUCAUAGAUGGUUUUGAACCACCAUGUCAAUGCUGGGAAUUGAACUCAGGACCUCUGGAAGAGCAGCCAGUGCUCUUAACUGCUGAGCAAUCUCACCAGCCCCCCAUCUUGGCUUUGUAAACCAUCAUUUACCCAUGAGCCUGGUCCGUCUCCCCUCUAUCCAGAGACAGUUUUUGGUUCCUCCUGGACAAAUCUUCUUACUCCCCUUUCCCUUACUCCUUCCCCUUCUCCCUUGUCCUCUAUCUCCUGACGUAUCCCCUGCUCUCUGUCCCUCUGGGGCAAAUAGAUCUUCUCUGUGCUGAGAACUUGGUCUUAGCAUGUAUUGAGUUGAUUUCAAAGUCCCUCUAUAACUGCUGCACCUGGAAAAAAAUCCCAGAAGAAUUCUCUAUCAUAGUCCUUGCCUUUUCUUUAAGACCCUAACAGAACCAGAGAAAACAGGAAUAUCCAGAAAGAUGGAAGACAGAUAAGAAUGGGAGGAACAUUGAGUGUAUAAGAAAAGAUGGGAGGCAGCUAUCCAUCCACAUGAUGGGCAGGCCUGCAGAAGGUCUUAAAUGUCUCACCUCUUAAGAUCCAUAUUAAAAGUGGGUUUUCUCACCUCAAAUGAUUUAUUUAAGAAAAACUCUUGAGGCUAGAGCAAUGGCUCAGGGGUUAAGACCAUUGACUGUUCUUCCAGAGGACCUGAGUUCAAUUCCCAGUACCUACAUGAAAGUUUACUGCUGUCUAUAACUCCAGUUUCAAGGAAUCCAGCACCCUCACAGACAGACAUGUAUGCAAAGCAUCAAUCAAUGUUCAUAAAAUAAAAAUAAAGAAAAGGAAAAACCCUCACACAUGUACCAAGCUGCUUAGUUUUUAGUUAAUUCCAGAUGUAGUGAAGCUGACAGCCAAGAAUAGUCAAUACAGUGUCCCUGUCCUGUCCUCCAUGAUCCUCCCCUCCACACACCUCACCAAACUCCAGGCUCGAACCAGUACACACUUCUUAUACAACAACCCCCUGACUUCACUCCAUCUAAGUCCACCCAUCCUACAGGCCCAACCUGGCCCACACAUCCUGGGAUCUGCCCCUAACUCCUCUGUCUACAUCAGACACAGAACUAACCAAAAAAAAAAAGUUCACAUGCCCAGAUCUCAUAAUAAAAAUAUAAAUAAUUUGAAAACUCAAGGCAGUACCCUCACAAAAAUACCCGCCAAUACUAUAGAAAUGUUCACUAAAGAGAAUUACCCAAAUGAAUCCUCAUGACACAGAACUAAAAAGAACAUUCACAAACUUUGAGACACAGCAAGAAGGCCCUCAGCAGACCCAGCCCCUCUAUCUCAGACUUCCCAGCCUCUAGAUCUGUGAGACAUACACCCCUGUUUAUUGCAAAUUCACUCUCACAAAGCCCUCCAUUACACCACCACAGAUGGGACAACGGCCCCAGCCUGACCUCGCUCCUGAAUCAAUAUUCUCAUGUCAGCUCAGCAUUUCAUCUUGAAUAAACAUUCAAGCAAGCAUUUCUCAUUUAGUAUUUCCCAAACCACAGAGAUUCUCUUCCCCAACCUUUUCUUCUUCAAGUCUUCCCCCAUCUCACCAAGUGGUCUCUCUAACCUUCUAGAUGUCCAGUUAUCUAAACUAAAAUGGGGGGGGGGUUGCAGACCUUGACCCAAUCCAUGGGUUCAUUGGUAAACUCUUGGUAUUUCACAUGCAGGCUUUCUCCAAAAACCUGCCCUGCCUGCUUUCCACAGGAGAUUAAAUAAAGAGAUGUGUGAGACACUUGUUUCACUUUAUCUGACACAAGUGCUUCUCAAUAGAAGUAUCUGUUCCUUGUCCGAACUAAAGGGAACUGCAACCCUAUAGGUGGAACAACAAUAUAAACUAAUCAGUACCCCGGAGCUCUUGUCUCUAGCUGCAUAUGUAUCAAAAGAUGGCCUAAUAGGCCAUCACUUGAAAGAGAGGCCNNNNNNNNNNNNNNNNNNNNNNNNNNUAUGGGGGACUUUUGGUAUAGCAUUGGAAAUGUAAAUGAGCUAAAUACCUAAUAAAAAAUGG